ACAACAUACGGACAUUAGGUCUACCGAGCAAUUACACCCGCUCAGUGGAAGAUCUUCUCUUUGUAAU
rnacentral:pre_miRNA from 1 species